rnacentral:rRNA from 1 species
CGCCUCUUGAGAGAUAUAAGAGGUCCAGCCUGCCCAGUGACCUAGUUCAACGGCCGCGGUAUCCUAACCGUGCGAAGGUAGCGUAAUCACUUGUUCUUUAAAUAAGGACUAGUAUGAAUGGCACCACGAGGGUUUAACUGUCUCCUUUUUCUAAUCAGUGAAACUAAUCUCCCCGUGAAGAAGCUGGGAUUUUUUUAUAAGACGAGAAGACCCUAUGGAGCUUUAAACUAUUUUACACCUGCUGCCCACAAACCAACUUCCAGAAAUUAACCCUAAAGCAUAGCACUUUGAUUAAUAGUUUUUGAUUGGGGUGAUCGCGGAGUAAAAAAUAACCUCCACGACGAAAGGAUUUUUCCUGAGCCAUAAGCCACAGCUUUAAGCACUAAUAUUAUUAACGGCUAUUGACCCAAUAAUUUUGAUCAACGAACCAAGUUACCCUAGGGAUAACAGCGCAAUCCACUUCAAGAGCUCCUAUCGACAAGUGGGUUUACGACCUCGAUGUUGGAUCAGGGUAUCCUAGUGGUGCAGCCGCUACUAACGGUUCGUUUGUUCAACGAUUAAAAC